ACAGGCACGUGUUGGCCGGGCAGGGUGUUUGUUUGCAAACCAGCCAGGUGUUUGCGUGGAGCCGGCGGGGAGCAGAGCCUGCCGGGCAGCUAACGAGCAGGGUUUAACACCGGUGGCAGCCGUGCGUGGGGCCGGAGAAGUCAUGCACACAACCAUCAAAGGGAGGGCACGCAACCUGCCUGAGUCGCCUAACGCUGCUCAAAUAGGAUUGCUGCCGAUGAUGGACAGAUCCUUAUUUCAGCGAACGCCAGCAGGAAGAUGACGAAGAAAACCCCCGGCCCGUGGGUGCAGCAUCCCCUUGCCUGGUCCCGGGGGUACCGCACCUCGAUGCCAGAGGAUGGGCUGAGAGUUGGGGACACCUCGUGCGGAGCAGCGGCGAUGGAGACCGCACGAGAAACACCGCUUCCAGCUGGGACUCGCACGUCUCUGCAGGAUUGGGCCACAUCCUUGCCACCCACAUCCCAUAUGACCUUGCCAGAGAGAUGCCAGGGAGAGACCUUCCGGGAGGCAGCCCCAAGCGGCAUGCAGAGCCCCCAAAUUUUACCCAACCAAUGGAGUUCCAGCUGUGGGCCCCAACAGACCCUGCGCUUCUCCAAGAUGACUUUAAACCCUCAUUUAGUCUGGAGAUGCUUUCCUCCAUGAAUUUGGGACCUCCGACAGCUUGAAGAAAUGUAGUUAUUUUCCUUUUACAUUAAAAUAAACAAAUAGAGAGUUUCAGCUCGUAUUUAAAGGCUAGGAUGAGACCUGGUUUCAGAGACCACUGACAUUGGAGACACAGAUGCUUGAGAAGGGAAGAAAUGCAAUUUCUCUAUCACAAAAUUAAUCGGAAGCAACACAAAGGUAGGAAUCACGCGCCUGACACCCUGCACCUCGUGGGACUCUCUCCAUCACUGCCCAGCCUGCCUCCGGCGUGCCUCUCCCCACCGCCCCUCUGGCAGCAGAUCAGUUCACUUCCCCAUUUAUUGACCCAACACAUGAGCGGACUGGUGCUUGGUUUUUUAAGUUAGACAGACCUUAAGCUCCCUGCAGCCUGUUGUGCAAACACAGAGAUUUGCAAGUGCAUUUUGCACGCAUUGGGCUGGGCAGAAAGGGUUUUUUCUACCUGGGCACAUUUUCUAGUCUUUGUGAUCCGUGACAAAUCGCAGUCUGAGGAAGAGGAAGUUGCUCUGAGCUUGAAAUUUUAAAGAAAGAGAUGAACACCCCAGGCGAUGGCCCAUUCAUGGCUUGCCUGGCUGCUCCUGCGGUGCCCUGAGCCAGCACCCCUGCUCUCCUUGCUCCAGCCCCUGCCGCAGUGCUGCUCAUCUGUCCUUUGGGCUGGUACAUAAGGAUAAGUCAAAAUCAGCACAGCUCCUACCAGGCGAGGCAGCAGAAACCCUCUUCGAGAGCUUGGAGAUUUUUCUGAAGGCGAAUUCAGCAGCCAGCCCUGCCCUGCCCUCCAGUACCCGCAACUUAACUACAGUUACCCAACGUGGUGUAUUGAACGUACACGGGAGCAACCCGCCGGCGCCAAAGCAGCUGCCCUCCGGCACGGCCAAGCGUCUCCAGCACGCGCCGGGCUCUGGCCCGUGAGACGAGGGGGUCCCUCGCCCGCUCCUGCUCCGCUGUCACAUCGCGCUUUACCCAACAAGCCGCCGAGGACCGAGCUGUGCCUGUGGCACAGCGCCGUCGGGGCUGGGGAUGCGCCUGCAUCCCUCCUCGCACCCAUCCUGGAGCAGCAGCCUCGGGACUAGCGCUGGAAGAGCGUACAGAGCACCAAGGACAACGCGGUGGCCGUGGGCGCGUGGGGGCAUGGGGGGGGUGCUGCGAGGUGCCCGCAGCUGCGCGCUUGCGGCGUGCGGAGCACGCGCGCCCCGGUACACCGCUGCUGGGGACCGCGCCGGCGUGCGAGAUGCUCACGUGUGUAAAGCAUCUUCUCGGGCUCGUGCUUUGCUGUGAAAAAGGAAAUAAAGAGUCUCCCCCCACGA